rnacentral:rRNA from 1 species
AUUGAACGCUGGCGGCAGGCCUAACACAUGCAAGUCGAGCGGAUGAAGGGAGCUUGCUCCUGGAUUCAGCGGCGGACGGGUGAGUAAUGCCUAGGAAUCUGCCUGGUAGUGGGGGAUAACGUCCGGAAACGGGCGCUAAUACCGCAUACGUCCUGAGGGAGAAAGUGGGGGAUUUUCGGACCUCACGCUAUCAGAUGAGCCUAGGUCGGAUUAGCUAGUUGGUGGGGUAAAGGCCUACCAAGGCGACGAUCCGUAACUGGUCUGAGAGGAUGAUCAGUCACACUGGAACUGAGACACGGUCCAGACUCCUACGGGAGGCAGCAGUGGGGAAUAUUGGACAAUGGGCGAAAGCCUGAUCCAGCCAUGCCGCGUGUGUGAAGAAGGUCUUCGGAUUGUAAAGCACUUUAAGUUGGGGGGAAGGGCAGUAAGUUAAUACCUUGCUGUUUUGACGUUACCAACAGAAUAAGCACCGGCUAACUUCGUG